GGCUCCUAUGGGAAGAGGCUGCUUUGGAUCUGUGGAGGAAAUAAAUCAUUUAUGGAUUAAAGGCAUUAAAUGGGGUUUAUUUUAUUGGGGGGUUGGGUAUUUCUGCCCCGGUGAGGCGCUUUGGCCGAGCGCCGCCAUUUUGAGGAGCCGCGGCCGCCAUUUUGAGGCUUCUUCCUGCCUCCCUUCCGCCAUUUCCUGAGAGCCGCGGAACCCGCAUCCCAACCCCCGUUUCCCGGUGGGAAGAGACGGAGCCAUUGCGCCCACCCCUGCGGCAACGCUGAGGAAUUGCAUCUGGAACCAUUCCCGGUGCUUCCCGAAUGCUUCAUGGGCUCUGUCAGUGCCUUCAAUUCACCCCAAUGGGGUUCGGGGGGGAGGGUUCAUCCUUCCCAAUGCUCCUGGAUCCCAUCCGGAAAUGAAGGAUUGGGGCCAUGACUCAGCAGGGCCUGGAAAUGCUGUGAAAAAAGGAGGUUUUGGGUGUUUUCAUAGAAAAUAAGGCAAAAAAAGGUCAUUUUUGGCUUUGUUGGAAAGGAGAACGGUAACAAAUGUGGAAAUGGGCAAAAAGAAGGGGUUUUGGGGUCUGGGUCCCCUUUAAGAACCGUCCCCCCCCCGUCCCCCCACCAGUUUGUGGGACAAAAGGAGCCGCAAGAACAAAAAAGGUUCAAAAUCAGGCGAGAAAUGCCGAGAAUGUUCCAGAUUCUCCCCAAAAAGGUCAGGCCGGGCAGAAUGGAGCCCCAAAAUGGUGUUAAAAUGAACCAGUUCGGUGCUCAAACCCACGGGGGGGCCUCGGGGAGGGUGAAAAGGGGAGAAAAGAACUCAAAACCCCCAAGAACAUCCAGCGAUUUUUGCUUUAAUCGGGGUUAUUUGAUGCUUACCGGGACUAUUUUCUCUCCCCCCCUUCGCGGAAGCGGCUGCGGUGACGCGGUCCCGCCUCGGCUUUAUAAGGGAGCUCGGGGAGGGAGCGGCCCCAAUCGCCAUUAGCGCUUGUGCCGAGGCGAUUCCUGCGGACGGAGCUGCUCUUUUUGCCCUUAAAAUGGGCUUUUUUGGGGCCGAAACGCUCUUAAAGUUGCUUCGCAUUGGAACGGGGGGGGCUUGAAGCAGCGGGUUUGAAGGCGGAAAAUGCUCUUAAAGCGACUGCAGUGGGAGCGGAACGCUCUUAAAGCGGCUCUGAGGGGAAAACGCUCUUAAAGCGGCUUCAUUUGAAGGGGAAAGGCUCUUAAAGUGGCUUUUUUUGGAGAAAAACGCUCUUAAAGCGGCUUUAUUUGGAGAAAAAUGCUCAAAGGGGCUUUUUUUAAAGCAAAAUGCUGUUAAAGCAGCUUUUUUGGGAAGCAAAACGCUUUUAAAGCGUCUUUAUUGGAAGAAAAGAGGCUCUUAAAGCUGUUUUCUUCCGUUUUGGAUGGAAUAUGGCGUUUGAAAAGCUGAGGGGGGAGCUUCUUAAUGCACCAAACGCUCCCCAUGUGCUUUGCGUUAGAACCGAGCAGCUCUUGAAAGCCCUUGAGAACCGAAGCUGUUAAAAGCCGGUUUUUGGUGGGAUCGCGGCUCUUGAAGCUGCUUCCUUUGAUACCGGAGCCUUCCCAAGCCCCUUCCCAGGGAGGAACUGCUCCUAAAGCGGAUUCCUCCUUCGCUGGAGCUGUUCCCUUAUGGAAGGCUCCUGAAGUGGCUCCGUUCUUGGGGCUGUUCGAGGCUCCUAAAGCUGCUUCCUUUGUGUUCCCGAGGCUUGGAGCAGGCAGGAAGGGAAAGGAGCCCAUGGAGACGGCGGAGGAGAGGAUGGAGGCAAGAGGCAGAGGAGCGAAUAGGAACAGAGAGGAACAAGAGAGAAGAAAUAGGAAAAGACAAGAAA